UUUGUUAUGGCAGACUUAUGCCCUGGCUUUAAGUGCCAGUAAUAGAUUUUUUUAUUUAAUCUUAACAAAU
rnacentral:tRNA from 1 species